rnacentral:rRNA from 1 species
GACGAACGCUGGCGGCGUGCUUAACACAUGCAAGUCGAACGGAAAGGCCCUGCUUUUGUGGGGUGCUCGAGUGGCGAACGGAUGAGUAACACGUGAGUAACCUGCCCUUGACUUUGGGAUAACUUCAGGAAACUGGGGCUAAUACCGGAUAGGAGCUCCUGCUGCAUGGUGGGGGUUGGAAAGUUUCGGCGGUUGGGGAUGGACUCGCGGCUUAUCAGCUUGUUGGUGGGGUAGUGGCUUACCAAGGCUUUGACGGGUAGCCGGCCUGAGAGGGUGACCGGCCACAUUGGGACUGAGAUACGGCCCCAACUCCUACGGGAGGCAGCAGUGGGGAAUAUUGCACAAUGGGCGGAAGCCUGAUGCAGCAACGCCGCGUGCGGGAUGACGGCCUUCGGGUUGUAAACCGCUUUCGCCUGUGACGAAGCGUGAGUGACGGUAAUGGGUAAAGAAGCACCGGCUAACUACGUG